UACAGAGGUGGCAAGCGUUGUUCGGAAUUACUGGGCGUAAAGGGCGCGUAGGCGGAAUGGCAAGUCGGUCGUGGAAUCCUUCGGCUCAACCGAAGAACGUCGAUCGAAACUGCCGUUCUUGAGGGGGAUAGAGGAGAGUGGAAUUCCUGGUGUAGCGGUGAAAUGCGUAGAUAUCUGGAGGAACACCGGUGGCGAAGGCGGCAUCCUGGACCGAUAUUGACGCUGAGGAGCGAAAGCCAGGGGAGCAAACGGG
rnacentral:rRNA from 1 species